rnacentral:sRNA from 1 species
GAGAAUAAAGCGUGAAGGAUAACGUUGCGUCAGCAACGGCCCGUAGGGCGAGGCGAAGCCGAGUCAUCCUGCACGACCCACCA